ACCCGCCCGGCGGGCGCAACAGGAGGCCCGCCCGCGGGGGACGGCGCGGCCCGCCGCGUCACGUGACGCGCCCUGCCAACAGGUCGCCCGAGGCAGGGCCCCGCGUGUCGUAGGGGGGCGGGGGGGAGGGGCGGCCCGCUGCGCCCCUCUUUCACCCCGGAGGCGAGGACGCCCGCCCUCGUGUCAGAGGCUGACGCCGUGGGCUUGACAAAGAGAUGAAUAAGACUUCAGAGAAUUAUGAAGUUGAAACCACAACGUGGAAGACACCUGGGGUUGACAAACGAGUCAUUGGAGACGCGCUUCCUAGGAGAGCUGUGUGACCAGGAACACCUAGAGUAGUGUAUUUGCUUUGUUAAAGAGUGACUUGUAUGAGAGAGAAAUCUAUUUUCC
rnacentral:lncRNA from 1 species